ACGUGAUAUGUCUGUCAUUUUUCUGAUUUUUUAUCGAAAGUGAACUGUUUUAGUAUUUGUUUUUUUUGGGUUUUUUUUCGUGUGGCCGUCCGUCUGUUAUUCAGUAUUGAGGGGUCAGUAUUCGUACAAGAACACAUAUGAAACGUUGCUUUCGAUAAUUUUGAAUAAAAACUGUUCACAUUUAUUUGGGGGCUCAAUUAAGCAGAGGGAGUUCAUUUUGUAUUGUGAAUCUUUUAAGAUAUCGGAAAUUCGUUACAGGCUGAAAUAGCUGUUGGAUCGUUUUUUUAAGUCUCCCGAUCGUACGAGAACAUUAUGGUCAAUGCCUUAGUAGGUAAACAC
rnacentral:lncRNA from 1 species